CUGAAAACUAAAGAUUCUGAAAGCAGGUAUUGACUGUAGUCAAAAACUCACAAUGAAGUCUAACACCUGCUUCUGGAAGAAUGAAAACUUGCACCAGGAUCAUGAUACAGAAUAUGGAUUUGGACACAAAGAGCAGUUCAGAUCAUACCAUGUACUCUACUGCGCCGUGCCCUCUUGCUCUGAGGGCGACUUUCCUGACCCCAGCCUGACACUGCCCCGUUAAUGUCAGAUAAACCAUUUAGCCCCAGCACAAUUCUAUUCUGUGCAAAAAUCUGCUUGAGGUGGAAAAUGUAGCAGUUUGUAAACAAUAAAGAGCCAUGUUUCAGACCAGA